rnacentral:rRNA from 1 species
AGAGUUUGAUCCUGGCUCAGGACGAACGCUGGCGGCGCGCUUAACACAUGCAAGUCGAGCGAGAACCAGUCCUUCGGGACUGGGGACAGCGGCGAACGGGUGAGUAACACGUGGGUAAUCUGCCCUCGAUUCUGGGAUAGCCCGGGGAAACCCGGAUUAAUACCGGAUAGCCUCUCGAGCUUUCGAGCUCGUGAGAAAAGGUAGCUUCGGCCUCCGAUCGAGGAUGAGCCCGCGGCGGAUUAGCUUGUUGGUGGGGUAAUGGCCUACCAAGGCGACGAUCCGUAGCUGGUCUGAGAGGACGAUCAGCCACACUGGGACUGAGACACGGCCCAGACUCCUACGGGAGGCAGCAGUGGGGAAUCUUGCGCAAUGGGCGAAAGCCUGACGCAGCGACGCCGCGUGGGGGAAGAAGGCCUUCGGGUUGUAAACCUCUUUCAGCAGGGACGAAGCCACUCGGGUUAAUAGCCCAGAGGGUGACGGUACUGCAGAAGAGCCC